UGAAGAAGCCGGCUUCUUUCAGUAGCUGCAGAUAAUUGUGAGUCUAAUAGUUGCAUAUCUGCCUAAAACCUAUUUCAUUGAUAAUUAAUGGAAAUGCAAUACCGUAUUCCUUCAGCAUUUGCAAUAGGAUAAGCAAUUCAUAUGGAAACACAGGAUCAGUGAGCACCAUUUAUAUCUUCUCCAUAUGAUUUAAAAUAGCCUUGAGGUCAUCGGUGAGGAGAAGGUAGAAAUUUAGGAGUGGACCGGAUUUUAUUUUUAUUUUUAUUUUUA
rnacentral:misc_RNA from 1 species